rnacentral:rRNA from 1 species
ACUCCUACGGGAGGCAGCAGUAGGGAAUCUUCCACAAUGGGCGCAAGCCUGAUGGAGCAACACCGCGUGAGUGAAGAAGGGUUUCGGCUCGUAAAGCUCUGUUGUUAAAGAAGAACACGUAUGAGAGUAACUGUUCAUACGUUGACGGUAUUUAACCAGAAAGUCACGGCUAACUACGUGCCAGCAGCCGCGGUAAUACGUAGGUGGCAAGCGUUAUCCGGAUUUAUUGGGCGUAAAGAGAGUGCAGGCGGUUUUCUAAGUCUGAUGUGAAAGCCUUCGGCUUAACCAGAGAAGUGCAUCGGAAACUGGAUAACUUGAGUGCAGAAGAGGGUAGUGGAACUCCAUGUGUAGCGGUGGAAUGCGUAGAUAUAUGGAAGAACACCAGUGGCGAAGGCGGCUACCUGGUCUGCAACUGACGCUGAGACUCGAAAGCAUGGGUAGCGAACAGGAUUAGAUACCCCUGGUAGGAUAGCG